AUUGAACGCUGGCGGCAGGCCUAACACAUGCAAGUCGAACGAGCGGCGCACGGGUGAGUAAUGUAUGGGGACUGCCCGAUAUAGGGGGAUAACUACUGGAAACGGUAGCUCAUACAGCAUACGAUCGGAUAACCCAUAUGGGAUUAGCUAGUAGGUGUGGUAAUGGCUCACCUAGGCGACGAUACCUAGCUGGUCUGAGAGGAUGAACAGCCACACUGGGACUGAGACACGGUCCAGACUCCUACGGAGGCAGCAGUGGGGAAUAUUGCACAAUGGGCGCAAGCCUGAUGCAGCCAUGCCGCGUGUAUGAAGAAGGCCCUAGGGUUGUAAAGUACUUUUGGCAGAGAAGCGGUAUCUGCAGAAUAAGCACCGGCUAACUACGUGCCAGCAGCCGCGGUAAUAC
rnacentral:rRNA from 1 species